rnacentral:lncRNA from 10 species
GUUGUCUGCUCUCAGGCCCCGCCUCCCCGGGGCCGGCUCGGGCCACUUCUUGCGCGCUGCCAGAAGGAGCUAUUUUGAGCAGUCCUUCUGACCCUCGUGGCUUCUCCUGCUCCAAGGCCAAGCUCGGGACCCUGUCAUCAUCCCCGGGGACAGGCCCCAUCUUAGAGAGGAUCCACCCAGCUCCCCGCUCCUGAGCCAUCUUCCAGCUAUCCCGCCUCGAGACUCCCACCGCACCUGCUCCUGGGCUGCAGCUGCACCCAACAAGUAAGUCAUUCUCUUGCCAAUAGAGUGUCUUCCACGUCCUUGUCCUUCCCACACUCCCCUUGGCAACCCCACCCCGCCGGAUGAAUCCAGAUGCCCACCUUCAUGCCUGCCCCUGGGUGGGUGCUGAGGGAGACCCGUGGCUUUUUCCCGCAACCAGGCCUUCUGCGCUGCCAGAAACCCCAUGCUCACCUGGCAUGGCGCUCGCACCCAGCCCCCUCCACCAUUUUCGAACCCACCUCAUUCUCUUUCAGCAGGUCUUGCCUCUUUCUUCAACGAGAAAAUAGCAGCCCUGUCAUGGGAACUCCCUUAACUCCCUUCCUCCCUGCCUGCACGAGGCCUGAAGAAACACACGUCCAUCCUUUUCUCCUCCCUUCCAGUAGCAUUGGAAGAGGUGUUCUCACCAGUCAACAUGUGGAUUGCUUCUAGAAUUUGGAUAUUAUGAACACUGCUGUGCUGAACAUUCUUGUACACUUAUAUGGUUUGGCUGUGUCCCCACCCAAAUCUCAUCUUGAAUUGUAGCUCCCAUAAUUCCUAUGUGUCGUGGGAGGGACCCAAUGGGAGGUAAUUGAAUCAUAGGGGCAGGUCUUUCCCCUGCUGUCCUUAUGAUAGUGAAUAAGUCUCAUGAGAUCUGAUGGUUUUAUACAUGGGAGUUCCCCUGCACAAGCCCUCUUGUCUGCCGCCAUGUAAGAUGUGCCUUUGCUUCUCCUCUGCCUUCCACCAUGAUUGUGAGGACUCCCCAACCAUGUGGAACUGUGAGUCCAUUAAACCUCUUUCCUUUGUAAAUUACCCAGUCUUGGGUCUGUCUUUAUUAGCCGCAUGAGAACAUACCAAUUUAUACACAUCUUCUGGAACCCAUUUCUUUCUGGUAGGUACUAGGAGUGACACUGUCAGGCUGUAGGAUAUAAGAUGCUUCAACCUUAUAAGAUAAUGCCAACGGAGUGUAUGAAAGCCCCAUUAUGCUACAUCUACCCUAUUCUUGGUAUUGUCAGACUUUUAAAUGUUUGCUUCUCUGGUUGAUACGUAAUAGAAUUUUGUUGUGGUUUUAAUUUGCAUUUUUAAAAUUCCUAAUGAGGAUGGGC